CACGUAGGGCGCAAGCGUUGUCCGGAAUUAUUGGGCGUAAAGAGCUCGUAGGCGGACUGUCACGUCUGCUGUGAAAAGCUGGGGCUUAACCCUGGCCUUGCAGUGGAUACGGGCAGACUAGAGUGUGGUAGGGGAGACUGGAAUUCCUGGUGUAGCGGUGAAAUGCGCAGAUAUCAGGAGGAACACCGAUGGCGAAGGCAGGUCUCUGGGCCACUACUGACGCUGAGAAGCGAAAGCAUGGGGAGCGAACAGG
rnacentral:rRNA from 1 species